rnacentral:rRNA from 1 species
UACGUAGGGUGCAAGCGUUAAUCGGAAUUACUGGGCGUAAAGCGUGCGCAGGCGGUUGUGCAAGACCGAUGUGAAAUCCCCGGGCUUAACCUGGGAAUGGCAUUGGUGACUGCACGGCUAGAGUGUGUCAGAGGGGGGUAGAAUUCCACGUGUAGCAGUGAAAUGCGUAGAGAUGUGGAGGAAUACCGAUGGCGAAGGCAGCCCCAUGGGAUAACACUGACGCUCAUGCACGAAAGCGUGGGGAGCAAACAGG